GGAGAGGUGCCGGAGUGGUCGAACGGGGCGGUCUCGAAAACCGUUGACCCUUUGCGGGGUCCCAGGGUUCGAAUCCCUGUCUCUCCGCCA
rnacentral:tRNA from 1 species